AGUUGGGCCUAGUGGGUAAUGUGCCACUAAAAUAUUGGAUUAGUUUAAAGGUCUCUGCUACUCUAUAUUUGUAUAAGGUGUGAUGAUGAUACAUUUUAUUACCUUCUUAGCUGUUUUCCACCAUAAGCGGCUAUAAUUUUUAUUUAUUUUUUAUUUUUUGAGAUGGAGUUUUGCUCUUGUUGCCUAUGCUGGAGUGCAAUGGUAUGGUCUUGGCUCACCGCAACCUCUGCCUGCCAAGUUCAAGCCUUUCUCCUGCCUCAGCCACUGGAGUAGCUGGGAUUACAGGCAUGCACCACCACGUCUGGCUAAUAUUUUGUAUUUUUUUAUAGAGACGAGGUUUCUCCAUGUUGAUUACACUGGUCUUGAACUUCUGACCUCAGGUGAUCUGCCCACCUUAGCCUCCCAAAUUGUUGGGAUUACAGGCGUGAGCCACCGCGCCUGGCAAGUGGCUGUUACUAAAACAUCUCAUCUAGAACUGAAGUGGGAGGAGAAGAAGCCUACUGAAAUAUGAUGUGAGGAUCUUAAGUAUUUUUUUAGUGUAGAUUAUAGGAAUUGUUCUUAAAAUGCUGAUUGUAUAGUGUGAAACCAUGGAAGAGUGAGCCAUUAGGGUGAUGGCAUUGAAGAAUGAGGACAGAGACAGGAUUGGUACCAGUUGUGAAGCAGGAGCGGUGAGAAGCAAACCUUGAACACCGAACUGAGGAAGAAAGUGGCUUUUUAUUCGGCCAGGAGCUGCUGUGGGGGCUACAGCUUUAUUCACCAAGCUCCCCGAGAAGCAGCUUCUUUCCGCUUUUAUAGGAUUACAAUGCUAAAGGGGAAACUGAGGUGAAACUAUGUCCAUUGGCUGGACAUCAGACCUUACAAUCUUUUGGCUUCUUUGAUUUGCUAGUUCAUAUGCAGUGCGAGUGGGAACAGGCAGGGGAGGGGGCUUACAGAGUCAAGACAAAGGCGGUAAGUUAUUAGUUGGCAGAGGUGUUUCCAGGAGGGAGCCUAGGCUGUACAGACGUAGGGGUGUGACCCAGUACCAGGCUUCAACUCCAGCCAGUAGGGAUAACAUUCAUUUGCAACUCUUUCAAGGUUUGUAGAUAGCAGAGAUGCUGGGAACUGAAAAGGGAGUUAUCUUCCCAGCUCUUUGGUAUUUUAUUCUUUUUUUUUCACCCUCCUUGCAAUCUGGAGGGGAGGAGGAGGUGGAGGCCAGAAGAGGGGAGGAGGUCUCCCCUCUCAGUAGAGGUUGUGGACUGUGUUAUCAAAUGGAUAGAGUAGGCCCAGAGAUUCUAAAAUGCCUUUAUAUGGAGUUGAGCUGAGUAAGGGUAGUAGUGGGGAUUAACACCUACUAGAAAUCCAUGCUGAGAGGAAUUCCAAGAUGUUUUGAUAAAGAAUGAGGAGGUCAAGUUUCCUAGGGCCAAAGUCCGUGGAAAUCUGAUACCUUAUUGAGAGAAGUGACAGAUUGUUAUGUUUAAACCAGAAGUUUUAGGAAAGGAAUUAGAACAUAGACCUUUAAGGCUCUGCAGGCCUGGCAUGGCACAGGAAGGAACCAUUGAAGGGUAUUUGGUGUUUUGGAAUCUGAACUGUCAUUUAGGGGACAGUGGUGUGAAUGCUUUAUACUUGACCCAGGUGGACUGAGAAACUUGAGUGAUUAUCCCCGUAAGUGUACUUUUUUUUUUUUUUUUUUGAGAUGGAGUUUUCCUCUUGUUGCCCCGGCUGAAGUGCAGUUGGCACAAUCUCGGCUCACCGAAACCUCCGCCUUCCAGGUUCAAGUGAUGCUCUUGCCUCAGCCCCCCAGGUAGCUGGGAUUACAGGCAUGCGCCACCACACCUGGCUAAUUUUGUAUGUUUAGUAGAGACGGGGUUUCUGCACGUUGGUUAGGCCGAUCUCAAACUCCAGACCUCAAGUGAUCCACCUGCCUCAGCCUCCCAAAGUGCUGGGAUUAUAGGCAUGAGCCACCGUACCUGGCCUGAGUGUACUUUUUUUUUUUUAAGCCCACAAUCUAUAUAGUCAGAGUCUGUUCCUCCCCCCCAGGAGUACACUGGCAUUCCUCAACAGGUCUAGGAAAAACCAACAAAAAAAGUCUAUACUCUCUUACUUUUCCCAACAUCUCUCUUAUUUUUCCAACAUGUCAUACAUUGUUAAUAAUAAAUAGCUACAGUUUAGCAAACAGUUACUUUGUAUCAGUGGCUGAGCAUUUUACUUGCUUUAUUUCAUUCAUUUCACUCUAUGAGGUGGGUACUAUUAUCCCUGUUUUCUGGAUGAGAACAUUGAGGCACAGCGAGGUUAAUUAACUUUUCCAAGAUCACAUAGCCAACAAGUCAUGGAGUGAGGCAGUCUCAUGCCAGAGCUUAAGCCUAGAGCAUAGUUCCUGGCUCUAUAGCUUUAGCAAGUGACUGGCUCUGUGAUGAGGACCAACCUCUCUAAUGUUUAUCUGUAAAAUAGGAAUUGUAAAUAGUUACUAACUCAGUGGACAAAGUGAAAUUAUAUGUGUUAAGCACUUAGCAGAAUAAGCACUCAAUGGAUAGUAGGAGUUAUCACAUCUUCAUAUUUGUGCAUUACCGUCACAGUUGACAGAUUAAAGCCAGAAGCAACUUGUUGAGCUACAGAUUUAGUGUACUAAUGAAUUCCAUGUUUGUCUCCAUGGAAAGGCAUGUGAGAUCUGUUAUUGUGACUGUCUGUACUUUUGUAUUGUUGUCUACUACCUAUGUUUAUUAAAUGAUAAGGACAGUAAUGCAACAAAGUAGUAAAAAUAAUUUUGCAAAUGCCCACUAUUGUGGGGGCUAUCACAGCACUGCCACUGGCGGGCAGCACCUUGGUGGUAAGUUCCAGAGGUCACUGCCAGCCAGAGCUAGAGGCUCAGAUCUGGCAUGCAAGAGGAAGCUGAGUGGGAGCCACUAGGGAUCAUGGCCAAGAGUGUUACCACCCAAGACCCAGAAUGGCUGAGUGGCCUCCCUGGAGCACGGCAGUGGCAGAACAACUCUGUGAACUCAGGUCUGGUGAUGCCUAAACUAGUGCUCUUCACCAUCUUGUGUGGACCCCUUUUGUCCAUCAGAAACCUUGAAUCCUCUCAGCAAAUGAGGUGACUACUCAGAUCAGUGACUUAGUCCUGUUUGGUGUUAUUUAUAUAUAUAUAUAUAUACAACAUAGCACAUACUAAUAAAUACCUACUAUAUGCCAGGCACUGCUUGCCACUGGAAUCUCUCACUCAGACAUUGUCUUUACUUUGCAGUUCUGCUUUUCACACUGUGAAAGCAGAGUCUGGAAGAUGUUUUGGAUUCAUAUGCAUUCAGCAUACAUUUGAGUGCCUAUGAUAAGCAAGUAUUCUCAUUUAGAAUUUGGGAAUACUAGUUAUACAUUUUGACAAAGCAAACCAUAAAUGCAAACUAUUUAUAUGAUAAAUAACUUUGGACUAGUGGUGGGAGGAAGGACCAGCUAUUGAUGGGUAGGAACUAGCAAGUAGCAGAAUGGCCUGCAUAGACCAGACCCAUCCAUAGUGACGCAGGUGCAACAGCCACCCUCAGACACAUGGAUAAAGGAUCCACCAGGAAAAAACUCCUGGCCUAUCAGGUGCUAUGUUGCAGUUCAGUUACUGGAAGUAUUUCCUCAGAAGUGUUUUUAGGGUUAAGGUACACAUUCUUGCAGCUUUACCUUCUGCCAAGUCACUGUUUAAGGGAAGCAGCAAUGAAUUACACUGUUCCCAUAGUCAAGGACAUUGUGUCCCACCAAGAACUACCCCUACUUAAGGAGGUGCUGGAUGUCAAAGAUUUGGAUCGACCAUUAUGGGUGUUCAGAGGAGAGAUUAUUUCCAGUUCAAGACCCAGGGAAGAGGACAUAGGGUGGAUAGCAGAGUUAUAGGGAGGAUUUAACAGAAGACAUGUACACAUUAGUUGAGUAUAAAUAAAACAAAUGAAUGAGACACAAAGCCUUGAAUGCCAGAAAUAACAGUAGUUGUGUUGUGGAAGGAUAUAAAACUCAACUGGGAGUGGAAGAGAAAGGCAGUAGUGAGUCUAGGAGAUGUACAGUAGGUUGAGGUGAACUUAUCCUGAAGACUACUUAUAAUCCAAAGAUUAUUUUUGGUUUGAAUUUGUUUUGGUUUGAAUUCAUGGUAUCUGUUUUCUUUGAAUGGAUGGUUGGGGAGGGUAGCUCGUAGAAUACAUUCUUACCAAAUCAGCAUUGAUUUUCAGGACAGUACAGAGAAAGACUACUGAGCUGAUGUAGGAGCUUCGGCUACAGUCGCUAUGGCUUUGAGCAAGCCGUUUAACCUUACUACCGCUUCAUGACUGUGGCUAACAAAGUUGGGAUAGUAUAGAGCAUAGAGAAUUUUUAGGCCAGUGAAACUAUUAAUACUGUUUGUGAUACUAUAAUGGUAGGUACAUGUCAUUAUACAUUUGCCUAACCCCACAGAAUACACAGCACCAAGAGUGAACCCUAAUGUGAACUCUGGUCUUUGAUGAUGCCAUGUCAGUGUAGGUUCCUCUGUGUAACAAGUGUACCACUCUAGUGGUGGGACGGAUUAUUGAUAAUGGGAGAGGAUAUGCAUGUGUGGGGGCAGGCAGUAUAUGGGAAAUCUUUCUACUUCUGCUAGUUUUGCUGUAAACCUAAAACCUCUCUAAAAAAUAAAGUCUGUUUUUUAAAAAGUAGGGAUAGUACUAUGGCAAUGUAAAAUCAAAGUAGGGCUGGGUGUGGUGGCUCACUCCUGCAAUCCCAGCACUUUGGGAACCCAAGGUGGGCGGAUCACGAGGUUAAGAGAUCAAGGCCAUCCUGGCCAAUAUGGUGAAACUUUGUCUCUAUUAAAAAUACAAAACUUAGCUGGGCAUGGUGGUGCCUGUCUGUAGUCCCAGCUACUUGGGAGGCUGAGGCAGGAAAAUCGCUUGAAUCCGGGAGGCAGAGGUUGCAGUGAGCUGAGAUCAGGCCACUGCACUCCAGCCUGGCAACAGAGCGAGACUCCCUCUCAAAAAAAAAAAAAAAAUCAGCGCAGCUGGUGGACGGGCUCUCGGGUGGCCCUGGCUAGGGGAGGCGAGUUGCAUGUGUCACUUCAGCUGGCAAUAGCGGUGGGAGCAGAGCCAGCGGGGCCUGUGGGUCUGCCUAGAUUUGUGAAAUGGCUGCUGACAUUUCUGAAUCCAGCAAGGCUGUUUGCAAAGGAGACCAAAGGAGCAGUGCCAAGUUAGAUGCUGAUCACCCACUUCGAGUCCUUUACUGGGGAGUCUGUUCAUUACCAACAGAGUACUGUGAAUAUAUGGCUGAUGUUGCUAAAUAUAGACAAUAGUUAGAGAAGAAUUUUCCAAAUGAAUUUGCAAAAUUUACUAUAGAAAAUUUACCCAAACAGGAAACUGGAAUUAGUGAGGGUCAAGGAACAGCAGGGGAAGAAGAAGAGAAGAAAAAACAGAAGAGAGGUGGAAGGGGUCAAAUAAAAAAAGAAGACUGUACCACAAAAGGUUACUAUAGCCAAAAUUCCCAGAGCAAAAAAGAAAUGUGUGACAAGAGUGUGUGUCCUUGCAACUUUUGAAAUUGAUCUUAAAGAAGCACAAAGAUUUUUUGCUCAGAAAUUCUCCUGUGGUGCCUCAAUAACAGGGGAGGAUGAAAUUAUCAUUCAGGGAGACUUUACAGAUGACAUAAUUGAUGUCGUUCAGGAAAAAUGGCCAGAGGUAGAAGAUGACAGCAUCGAAGAUCUAGGAGAAGUGAAGAAGUGAAUUUGAAAAUUUGUAUUUAAUGGCCUGAACUGAAAGUUGAUAUGGCCAAAGGGAGAGAGGCCUUUUAAAAAAUAUUUAUAUAUAUAUUUAUUCUACAGUGAAACUGCAGACUGCCCUCGUCCUUGGCAUUUUCACUGUUCUGUACCAGGUUGUUUGUUUUUUUAUUGCCAAAGUCAAAUAAACAGGGGAGACUGUCAUUGCUCACACAUGAGUGAAUUUAGUCAAAUAAAAAAUUCAGAGGCCGGGCGCGGUGGCUCAUGCCUAUAAUCCCAGCACUUUGGGAGGCUGAGGCGGGUGGAUCACGAGGUCAAGAGAUCGAGACCAUCCUGGUCAACAUGGUGAAACCCUGUCUCUACUAAAAAUACAAAAAUUAGCUGGGCAUGGUGGCGCGUGCCUGUAAUCCCAGCUACUCGGGAGCGUGAGGCAGGAAAAUUGCUUGAACCCGGAAGGCGGAGGUUGCGGUGAGCCGAGAUUGUGCCAUUGCACUCCAGCCUGGGUAACAACAGUGAAACUCCAUCUCAAAAAAAAAAAAAAAGAAAAAAAAAUUCUGGUCAUUUGGUACUGACUUUCUCUUUAUUUCUCUCUCUCUCUCUCUCUUUUUUUUUUGAAAUGGAGUCUGGUACUGUCGCCCAGCUGGAGUGCAGUGGUGCAAUCUCGGCUCACUGCAACCUCCGCCUCCCAGGUUCAAGCGUUCCUCCUGCGUCUGCCUCCCAAGUAGCUGGGACUACAGGCAUCCACCAUCAUGCCUGGCUAAGUUUUUGUAUUUUUAGUAGAGACGGUGUUUCACCAUGUUGGCCAGGCUGAUCUCCAACUCCUGACCUUGUGAUUUGCCCGCCUUAGCCUCCCAAAGUGCUGGAUGUGAGCCACGGUGCCCAGCCUGACUUUCUCUUUAUCUCUUUUUAACUUUAUUUUUUGAAAAACCCAGUAGACCUUUUGCGGGGAGCAUUUUUGUUGAUUAUUUUACUGAUCUAAAGCUGAGUGAUUUUUUUUAAAAGAGUUUGAAUUUGGCUUCCUUACCAGUAAUAUAUUUCCUUGCUUCUUUGAUGUGAUGGUUUUGAGAUGUAUGAGAAUCUAAUAGAUUUGUGGUUGAAUUUGCUUUGUUGUUAUGAAGUCCAUCCUGUGGGCAACAUACUGUUGGUAGGAAUUGUUCAAGCUAUUCUGGAGAUUAUUUGGUAAAGUAUACUAAAAGCUUUAAAACCAUGUAUGUGCACUGUUUGAACCAGUAAGCCACUUCUUUGAUAUUAGAAGACUUAGAAGAAAUAAUCAGCCUUGCAUAAAACUUAUGGAUGAAAGUAUUCAUCACAAUAUUAUUUACAAUAAAAAAUUGUAAAUGUUAUAAAUGAACAUUUGGAAAAUGGUUAAAGAAGUGAUGGCACAUUGUGUGGUAGAAUAUUAUGCAUAUGUUUAAAGAAUCAUAUUUUCUAAGAUUACUUGGAAACAUGUUUGGUAAUGUCAAGUGGGGCAUCCCAGACAUUUAUUUUAGAAAUUUAUCAUCAUAAUUUUAGACUUUUAUCAUCAUCAUUGUUGUGAGUGGAAGGCCGUUCAGAGAGGCUAGAGGUUCUUAUUCUGGCUAUAAAUUAUGUGAGUAAAAUUCUGCUAGCCAAUUAAAAAUGUGCACCCAUGUUCAAUCUAUCAUCCUGGAAAUAGCAAUUGAAACACGUCUUCUCACAAGAGAAAAAUGACAGUUUUAAUGAUGCAUUAUAUGAAUUUAAACUUUAAGUCAGGUGCUGCAAAUUGGAAAGGAGACUUGUGGUGUUUUAAAUUUCUGUGGACCCUUAAGAAACUUGGAACCCAUGAAACCACUGUUUAUUGCCAUGCAAAUUACAAUCUUGAAUGAGUGUUUUUUUUUAAAUAAAGUAUUAGAAAACGUGUAAUAAAGAUGUAAAAUUGAAAAAUGAAAUUCUGCAUUAA